UACGAAGGGGGCUAGCGUUGUUCGGAUUUACUGGGCGUAAAGCGCACGUAGGCGGACUAUUAAGUCAGGGGUGAAAUCCCGGGGCUCAACCCCGGAACUGCCUUUGAUACUGGUAGUCUUGAGUUCGAGAGAGGUGAGUGGAAUUCCGAGUGUAGAGGUGAAAUUCGUAGAUAUUCGGAGGAACACCAGUGGCGAAGGCGGCUCACUGGCUCGAUACUGACGUUGAGGUGCGAAAGCGUGGGGAGCAAACAGG
rnacentral:rRNA from 1 species